UGGACAGAUUAUUGUAUUCGACUGUAUUCACAGCGUGAAACAGGGGGUUACACUGUUUUUAAACAGAAAGUGAAUCAAUUAACAUAAUAGACUCCU
rnacentral:pre_miRNA from 1 species